UCACAUAGGAAUAGCCUGAAGAAAAUUGGAGAUUAAUACAUAGGGUAUAGGAGAGCGGCAUCGUUUUUAUAUUAAAGCUACGGUGGUGAAAGAGAGUAUGCGUUCUAUUAGCUAGUGGGAGAGGUAACGGCUCCCCAAGGCGACGAUAGAUAGGGGUUCUGAGAGGGAUGUCCCCCACACUGGUACUGAGAUACGGACCAGACUCCUACGGGAGGCAGCAGUGAGGAAUAUUGGACAAUGGUCGGAAGACUGAUCCAGCCAUGCCGCGUGCAGGAUGAAGGUCCUAUGGAUUGUAAACUGCUUUUGUAAGGGAAGAAUAAGGAGUACGUGUACUUUGAUGACGGUACCUUACGAAUAAGCAUCGGCUAACUCCGUGCCAGCAGCCGCGGUAAUACGGAGGAUGCGAGCGUUAUCCGGAAUCAUUGGGUUUAAAGGGUCCGUAGGCGGGCUGAUAAGUCAGAGGUGAAAGCGCUUAGCUCAACUAAGCAACUGCCUUUGAAACUGUCAGUCUUGAAUGAUUGUGAAGUAGUUGGAAUGUGUAGUGUAGCGGUGAAAUGCUUAGAUAUUACACAGAACACCGAUAGCGAAGGCAUAUUACUAACAAUUUAUUGACGCUGAUGGACGAAAGCGUGGGGAGCGAAUAGGG
rnacentral:rRNA from 1 species